ACAAGUAUGAGGCUGCUUGGCAUGCUGGAAACUGGAAUUUUUCCUUGCUUUACAUGGGAGAUAAUUCACAGAGUGAGCAAAACUAAAAGUGGCCAUUUCAAUGAAAAUCUGCACAGAUAUUUCGACUGGUUUCCCUGUGGUUCACUCUAUCAGAUAGACAAGAUAUCAUAACUAACAUUGCAUGGCCAGCUCAUAAAGUCAUAAUUAGCUAAGAAAAUGGACUCACAACAAAGACAAGUGCACAAAGGAUGAUGAAUUGAAGGAUGGAGCAAGUUUCAUGCAUGGUUUACUUUUGUGUAUCUUGUAAUGUUUCUGUUUUUCAUUUUUGAAGUAAAAAUUGUUCAAGAUUAUAAAAUUUUAUUAUGUUAUGCUUUCAAACUUAAGUUAGAACUAAGAUCUCAUGAAUUAGACACAUUCAUGG